rnacentral:rRNA from 1 species
GAUGAACGCUGGCGGCGUGCCUAAUACAUGCAAGUCGAGCGAACAGACGAGGAGCUUGCUCCUCUGACGUUAGCGGCGGACGGGUGAGUAACACGUGGAUAACCUACCUAUAAGACUGGGAUAACUUCGGGAAACCGGAUCUAAUACCGGAUAAUAUAUUGAACCGCAUGGUUCAAUAGUGAAAGACGGUUUUGCUGUCACUUAUAGAUGGAUCCGCGCCGCAUUAGCUAGUUGGUAAGGUAACGGCUUACCAAGGCAACGAUGCGUAGCCGACCUGAGAGGGUGAUCGGCCACACUGGAACUGAGACACGGUCCAGACUCCUACGGGAGGCAGCAGUAGGGAAUCUUCCGCAAUGGGCGAAAGCCUGACGGAGCAACGCCGCGUGAGUGAUGAAGGUCUUCGGAUCGUAAAACUCUGUUAUUAGGGAAGAACAAAUGUGUAAGUAACUAUGCACGUCUUGACGGUACCAAAACAGAAAGCCACGGCUAACUACGUG